UGCUGUCAUCCCAAAUGAGGCCGUGCCAUUCCAGUGCCAAAACAUAGAAUUAAUAGCUACAGGGAGAGCGAAAGUGUGGUGGAAUACAACUCUAAGCUAGUAAUAAGGAUGCUUCCAGCUGCAGUGAUCCAGUCCCUGCUUCAAAACAUGAACGGGGCAUUGAAACCUCUAGAAACAUAUCUGGUCAUGCUGCUGAGGAACAUAACACACUGAUCAAUUCAAUCAACCACCAUGGAAACAACGAAUUCCCUCUCAUGACUGGCUCCAAUAUGUGAUAAAACACUUACUAAUACCAAUGGACUUCUAAGGACACCACUUCGGACCAAGAACACAGAAAGUCUUCACGGUCACACAUAUUAGUCCUGUUAUUUACAUCCUUUCCAACUCAGAGUUUGUGUAUUUAUGCUCACCACAUCUGAAUCUGUGAAUUAAUGGGGUGCAACCACCACCUCUUUUUGCAUAUUUAGAACAAAAGGGAUGGCAUUCCUUGUUACAACUCUUCCACACUGCCACCACCUCUUUUCUCAACCCUGAAUCUGAACAAUAAACGGAACUUGAAUUUAAGUAAAGUGCUUCAGGCACAAGCUGGAUGUGCUUACUGAAUACUCAAUAAGAAA